rnacentral:rRNA from 1 species
UACGUAGGGAGCAAGCGUUGUCCGGAAUCAUUGGGCGUAAAGCGCGCGUAGGCGGCCCUGUAAGUCCGCUGUGAAAGUCAAAGGCUCAACCUUUGAAAGCCGGUGGAUACUGCAGGGCUAGAGUCCGGAAGAGGCGAGUGGAAUUCCUGGUGUAGCGGUGGAAUGCGCAGAUAUCAGGAGGAAUACCCAUAGCGAAGGCAGCUCGCUGGGACGUUACUGACGCUGAGGCGCGAAAGCGUGGGGAGCGAACAGG